rnacentral:rRNA from 1 species
CACGUAGGGGCCAAGCGUUGUCCGGAUUUAUUGGGCGUAAAGAGCGCGUAGGCGGCCCUGUAAGUCCGCUGUGAAAGUCAAGGGCUCAACCCUUGGAUGCCGGUGGAUACUGCAGGGCUAGAGCCCGGAAGAGGCGAGUGGAAUUCCUGGUGUAGCGGUGAAAUGCGCAGAUAUCAGGAGGAACACUUAGGGCGAAGGCAAGACUCUGGACAAAUGCUGACGCUCAUGCACGAAGGCUAGGGUAGCGAACGGG